CUGAGAAGAACCCUCAGAGCAUGUUCAUUAAAACUCAUGUUGGCAUGAAACAUCUGGCUCUGCUGGUUUUUCUUGGACCAUGUGCUCCAUUGCAGGAAAAUAGUUGCUGGCAUUAAAACCAGAGUCAAGACAGCAACCUUGAGAAAGCAUCAUAAGGAUCAACAUUUCUGUACUGGUGACGCAGCAUAUUUAAUAAUCAGAGAAUCAAAAUGCUACAUAAGGCACCUGAAUCACAGCAGCAAUCAGGUUAGCACUGAAACAAGAACUACCCAUGGCUGCAGCAGCACUUAAAAAAAAAA